GUUAUUACAGUAAUUUUCACCUGCUUCAUCUCUGCUAUUGUGUGUUUCAGUGGAACAAGUUGCGGCAAAAAUCGCAAGUAUAUACGGUCUUAUUAUGGCCGGGAACUUAGGAAAAUCCCGCCCAGUCAGAGAAAAGUGGUGCAGGGGUGGAUGACCUGUACCAUUCAUCGUGGGAGUUUUUCGCAGUCCUGGGACUCUUCUUGAAAUGCCAUGUACAGCAGAGGCCUUCUACUAACAAUCUGACCAGGGAACCCAUUUCUAAUAGCAGUAGAGCAGCACCCAUCAUGAUUACUGAUGACAAUGAAUGCACAGGGAGCAUUGAGUGCACCAUGGAUUCCACUGACAAUGGCUGCAGUCAAGAAGUUAACAUCACACUGCAGUGGUUAUGCAGAAUCUAUGCCUGUUACAAAAACAGACAAGGCUCAACCACACCCCAGGAAGAGGAGGAAUCAAGCAACAGGAAGUCCUGAAUUAAAAAAUCUAAUGUACAGGACAUUGGAAAUGAUAUCUCAAAAGAAAGCCAAAAGUGACACAAUGAUUGUGAC